rnacentral:rRNA from 1 species
GCGCGAAAACUUUACAAUGCUGGCAACAGCGAUAAGGGAACCUCGAGUGCCAGGUUACAAAUCUGGCUGUCGAGAUGCCUAAAAAGCAUUUCAUAGCAAGGGCCAGGCAAGACCGGUGCCAGCCGCCGCGGUAACACCGGCGGCUCGAGUGGUAACCGUUAUUGUUGGGUCUAAAGGGUCUGUAGCCGGCCGGAUAAGUCUCUUGAGAAAUCUGGCAGCUUAACUGUCAGGCUUUCAGGAGAUACUGUCUGGCUCGAGGCCGGGAGAGGUGAGAGGUACUUCAGGGGUAGGGGUGGAAUCUUGUAAUCCUUGAAGGACCACCAGUGGCGAAGGCGUCUCACCAGAACGGACCUGACGGCAAGGGACGAAAGCUAGGGGCACGAACCG